AGCUUCAACAUUUUUUUUAUUUUUUUUAUUUUUUUUUAUUUUAUUGAACAACAAACAUACAUGUAUAAUUCACACACAAUUCAAGGCACUUUCAACAACAAGGAAAGAAAGAAAAAAACAAAUACCGGGGACUUCCGGGUUCAUGUUCCCGCCACCUGCACUAAUAACUAGGUGGAGCUUCAACAUGGAGGCAUGGAGGAGUGUUUUUAGGGAGGCACUUACGUCAGAAUGGCGACCAAAGAGAUGAUAGGAGGCGGGUGGAAGAGAGAGAGAGAGAGAGUGGGAGAGUGGGAGAGAAAGGUGGACCAUUAGGACGCCACAUCCACGUCGCGCACACUCUUGUGGCUCGAACGUGGAGAUGCUGGAUGCUAGCAAAAGCUAAGUUUAGCGACACUAACUCUGGACCUUGAGGCAAAAUGAAAUGCUGAAGGGACUUAAUUGUGAUGGAUUUUACCCAAUAACGUGACGGACAUGUAUACGGCACACAUGUAUAUCAUCAGCUGUCGGAAGUCCCGCAAACAGGAGAGGAUGUAUGACUUGCCCACAUGGCUGCUUUACCUGCACGCUGUUCAGAAAAUGAGGCGGAAGAGGAGUGGGUGGAAAGAAGGAUGGGAGGAUUGUAGGAAGCGGAUGAACCCGGAGCAGGAGAACACAUAUGUGGCGCCAUUACUGGCUCUCUGGCUGCCUUCCUCCCGUGGCCGCCGGCGGUUGCAUUCAAGGGUCCCGGAGCCGGCAGGGGCCAGCCAACAUUCGCAGCAGAGUGGGCAGCCGAGGGCCUGGCCCGAGCCAGGAGAGAUGCAGGUGAGGCGGACGAGCCGAAGCGCUCAUCGCCGCCGGCUAGGAGCCUCUGUGCAGUGAAAUCAAUACGAAGGAGAGAGGCUAGCAGAGGUUGGCCAGAACUGCCUGCGGGCCUCUCUGAGCCCUGGGACCCAACACUAUAGUGUUCCCGCCUCCGUCUCUUUCCUGCUUUUUUUCAACAGUUCUGGCACCGGCCCGGUCCAGCGCCAUCACCGUUGCACUCGCCGCCCCACACGCAAAUCUUUCAGUGUGGGUUCAGCCUUGAGGGAGUUUUGCCAGGAACAUUUUGUCAGAGCCACAGAGGCGGGACGCAAGGUUGGGGGAAAAAAGAACAAGCAAAGACGUGGGAAAAAAACCUUGAUUCUACAAACUGUUUGAAUAAGGAUUCACAGUGAAAGAACGAUAAACUAGACGAUCCAUCCAAGCCCAAUACACCUUCAUCUCACGGGCCUGGAUGAAAGGACAACUUUUUCUCCAAUCUGCUUUAUCAGACUUUCUCUUUUUUAUUGCUUUAUAUUUUCUGAGCCACACUAAGAGCACCCGCCUUCAGAGGAUAUGGAAGUGCAGUAUUGAUCCAGAAGGUGGUGCGGCAAAAAAGGGGGGGCUUUCAUGGCUUCCUCUCUCUGGGUGUAAACAGAACCAAAAGUCCACUACUCACUGCUGUAUAACCACUAAUGAACAGCAGCGAAAGUAAGACUUUCUUUUUUGUUUUGUUUUUUUUACCUGCAAUUGAGCUUUAUGACUGAUCAAGAAGAUGUGGCUCAGGACCUAAAGCAUCUGAAGACAGAGAGUUCCCACUUUCUGGCGCACCGAGGACAGCACAGGGGUCCUUGCUUCUUGCACGUGGCGAGAUUGGAGGAGAGCGGGCAUGCGAGGAACACGAUUGAAGCCACAGUCACGAGGACAGAAAGCAGCAAUCAAGCAACAUCAAGAGUCUUUUUUUCUCUUAGGUUUGUCCUCAUUGGGAAGAUACCACUUGGAUAACAAUUGGGAAAAUGCACCAUUAUGAAUUUUUGGAUGUGAGCAGGUAAGUGGGAGGAGCUUCCAAAAGGUAUGUUUAGGGACAUUUGACCGAGUUAUAAAGUGUAGAAUGACCACUUUAAAGCAGGCUUUCCUAAAAAUAGCACCCAAAAUAUGCAAAGAAGUGUACACUAUUGCAGUAAUAUAAUACAGACCCUGAGUUUGGGGAGACUUUAAAUUCAAUAAUUUAACCCUACAGAUUUAUCUACCACUUUUUGCACUUUUUUUUUCAAAAUGAUACUAAUAUCAUGAUAUGGCUUGAUUCUUUGUUUAAUAAUGGCUGUCCAAUUACAAGCAUGUAUAUUCAAUGUGCAGGACUCCCUUGAGUAAGAGAUUCUUAAUCUCAAUGGGACUUUCCUGGGUAUAUAAAGGUUACAAAAAUGUUUAUUUCAAAUAAAUGAAGAAAACAUGUUUUGAAAAGAAAAGGAAAACCUGUUCAUAAAAAUAUUUAGAGGUAUAUGCUUUUGGAAUUUUUUUAAAUUGACCAAUUGUUUGUAUGCUGCUAUUUUUUUUUUUGCUGCAGCUGUUACAUAUACUGUAAUAUUGUACAUGGUAGUUGGGAUUUGUUAUAUAUUGCAGUGUUUCCCACACAUUCAUUUAUUUGUGGCGGCCCGCCACGAAAGAAUUACGUCCGCCACAAAUAGAUUUUUUUAUUUUUUUAUUUUUUUAUUUUUUGUCCUGUCCAGCUUCUCAGGCAAAUCAUAUAGUUGAUGUAGAUGCCCAUAUAGGCUGUUCAGAUUUACUUUACAAAAGAGAAGUGUAGGAUACUUCUCUUGUUGCCUUAUUUGUAUUUGACCACUACUGUUUUCUGUUUAUUUGUUACUGACUGUGGCAGGACACCUCUGCCUCUGUUUCACUUUAUGUUGCUGGUAAAUAAUAUGGUUGUUGUAGUAGUAGGCUAAAGUUAAAUUAUUUAGUAUGCACUAAUUAAAGGGGCAGAGCUUUAAGAGACAUUUUAGCUUUUAUAUUUUAUAAGAUAUAUUUUUUGUAAGAACCACAAUUAAUAAAUAUAUUUCAGUGAAUAACUUAUUGUUCAAAUUUGUAUAUAAAUAUGUACAUAAAGUGUUGUAAUUAUAUUGUAAAAUGGAUGGAUGGAUGGACGUUUAAAACAAAACUGUUAUUAUUAAUUAGUAAGUAUACAUUUUUUGAGCCUUUUUAGAGAAAAUCAUAUCAUUGUAGUAAAUUAUGCAAAUUACUCGAUGAUGUCAUGGUGACCACGCCCAUAGCCACGCCCCCGCCGCCACAGGUAUCUUGGCAGUUUAUGGGAAACACUGUAUUGUAUAAAUUAUAUAACAAUACAAUAUACUAUAAUGAUAUAAUUUAUCAGUAUAUAUUAUAUACUGUAUAUAUAAUAUGUAAAUAUUACAUAUAUAUUAUAUUUUAUAUAGCUACUAUGGUAAAUUUUUAGUCUACUUUAUACCUUUUGUUUUUGCCCUCUUUUUGUGCCCUUGUAUGCAUUAUCCUUUCCAUCCUUUGUUACUGAGCUACUGUGUGGAACAAUUUCCCUUGUGGAUCAUUAAAGUUUGUCUAAGUCUAAGUCUAAAUUUAAUGUCAUCAUUAACAAAGUCAUUUGUUUUCUUUUAUUAGACUUUUUUUAAAUUGUAAAACAAUCAGAACUCUUUAUAUUUUGUAUCAGAUCAAAUGUUUUUUUUCUGCGACAAGAAACCAGCUUAUUUUUUUAAUAAUUAAAUAAUAAUAAUAGUAUGUGGUAAUGUUAAUAAUGAUGAAACACAUUUUAAAGUACACAAUGAGAAUACAUGCUUUUCAUUGGACAGCCCCUAACAUGUAUAAGUAUGUACCGGUAAUUUGUACGUAAAAAAAAUUGUCAUAACAAAUCCCUCACGUAGUUGUACUUUUUUUGAUCGUCCAAUAAACACUUCAUCACAAAAUUGUCCAACAUUUUAUUUAAAAUGUUUCAAGUACACUUCAGAUUGGAUGUAAUUUAAUAACUCAUACCUUUAUAGUGGUUGUUUUGUGUAGAAUGUAUUGUAUAAAAAUAUUGAAAUUGACAAAAUGCAAAAUGUUGCCCCAAUGUGACUUUCAAUA